ACUCUAAACUUUGGAAAAAGGUGAAGCCCAUAAAAUAUUAUCAGCUAACCAAAUGACUUUGUGCAGAUUUCUGGGGCAAUGUAAAUACCAUUCACGUUACUCCAAGAAAGGUAACAGUCACCAAGGACAAUGAUGCCUGGUAACUUCACUAUUACAGGAAUUUCAGAGACCUCCCAGGAGUGUAGAAAGAAGAUGUCUAUAGAAGCAAAGAAGGAAAUGUAUGUGCAAAGGAGAAUUUGAAUUUACCUGAAAAGACUACAUGGGAUAGAGCAGAAAGUAUGAAUUUUGGUAACAGAGCUUUGUUACCUAAACCAGAGGAGCCAACAAGUUCUACAUUUCCAUCCUAAAUUGGUGACACUGAUCCACACACUAUAGAGUUGUUGAGGUUGUCAGAUGAUGAUUUUGAGGAUUAUGUGAGGUGACAAGUAUAAAGUCUCCAGGACUGUAUCACUGGCUCACAAUUAGAAUUAUGUAUUUAACUGCUUUCUCUUUCCCCUUUUCCAAUUCCAAGAUUCUGAGUGUGUAAAUCCUUUUGAAAAUCCUUAGGAUAACAAGAGUAUCAAAAAGUUUUAUAUUUAAUGUUGGAUUUUCUAGACCACAAGUCAUUAUCUGAAUGUGUAGCUGAGCAGGAAUUAAGUAUUAUUGCUUCAAGACAAAGGCUAGCAAAAAUAAG